GACGAACGCUGGCGGCGUGCUUAACACAUGCAAGUCGAACGGUGAAGCCUUUCGGGGUGGAUCAGUGGCGAACGGGUGAGUAACACGUGAGUAAUCUGCCCUUGACUCUGGGAUAACUUCGGGAAACCGGAGCUAAUACCGGAUAUGACACAUGGCUGCAUGGUUUGUGUGUGGAAAGAUUUAUUGGUCAGGGAUGAGCUCGCGGCCUAUCAGCUUGUUGGGGGGUAAUGGCCUACCAAGGCGACGACGGGUAGCCGGCCUGAGAGGGCGACCGGCCACACUGGGACUGAGACACGGCCCAGACUCCUACGGGAGGCAGCAGUGGGGAAUAUUGCGCAAUGGGCGGAAGCCUGACGCAGCGACGCCGCGUGAGGGAUGAAGGCCUCGGUCGUAA
rnacentral:rRNA from 1 species